CCGGGAUGCAGUAAGAUUAGCAGAACACACACAUCAUUGCCUGGGCAUGCAAGUAUUGCCAUGCACAGGACAGACCUCUGGUGCUUCCACUUUUCUCCCCCUCUUAGUGACAGAAAACCCAUUGGACUCCAGCAGUAGUUAAGCUCCGGCAGCCAUUGGCCCCAGAACUCUACCUUCUGCCUUUCAGUAGGUAGAGGCCAGCGGGGGAGGUGGCCAAUCGGGCGGUCUGUAUCCAGGAGAACGUGGCACAGUUAGCUAUUUAAAUCCAUCCAGGAUGAUGUCAGCAAGCGGAGCUGAAAGGGUUAGGAGCAAGGCUAAAGGAGAGGAGGAAUCUUGUCAGGCUGCAUUAUUUACAGAGACCCGCGCUGAGGCUAAGCAGAGAGCAACACACCCACUACCUGUGCCCUGAGCCAAACUCCUCACGCCUCCAAGCUGCUUCCUCUCAGCCUCGAGAAAGGAGGAAUGGCUGCAGAAAAUAAUUUGACACUAAAUGAGACGGGGAGAGCUUAAUUCUUACAUGAUUUUUUUUUCAACUGGAAGAGCAGCUUUCUACUUAGAUAAAAACGCACAAACCGGCUCUGGUUUGCACAUUGCUGGGGUUUUACCGGAAAGCUGGUCCGACUCACACCCGCUGAUAAGAGAAAAGCGUUUGUUCCCGCGUCUGGAAGUCUGUGGUCCCAAUAACCCAGCGUGAGACUUGCAAAAAUGGUUCUCAGCUUAGACGCCGUUUUGCAGCACGAGCAAAAUGUUCAGGCUCAGGAAAUGAUGCUAAAGGCAUUUUGAAAAAUGUAAGAUGGGCCUGACACAGCGCUGGCACAGGAUACAUGACGGAAGCGGCGUGGUGAGUGGUGAUAACGGCCCCUGGGGCCUGGCAGGGAGCUGGUUUCACACUCCAGUUCCAACACGCCCCCUCCCUGCCCCCCACCGGCAACCCCCCUGCAGGAGGAGCCUCAUCAGACUUCAGGUUUCCCUGGGCCCUGGAUCAAAGGACAUUUACGUGACACAAUGUAUUAUUGCCUCACAAAAGUCUCUCAGCCCUCUUCAACAGCUGGGACAACUUGGAGAGUCACAACCAAAAGAAUGAAGUUUCGCCAUUACCUACACCAUUCAAGAAUUGACUCAUAGUGGACAAAAGACUUUACAACGUAAGAUAUAAAUUAGAAAACCCUUAGAAGAAAAGAGGAGAAAAAUCUUCAUGCCCUUGGAUUUGGCAAUGGGUUCUUGGAUAUGACACCAAAAGCUUAAGCAAAAGAAAACUAGUUUUGACUAGGAGUAUGGGCAGCCACCCUGUGCAGUUCAGUAGCUCAAUCAUGUCCAACUAAUUGCGACCACAUGGACUGCAGUAUGGCAGGCUUCCCUGUCCGUCACCAUCU
rnacentral:lncRNA from 1 species